rnacentral:rRNA from 1 species
CCCUACGGGGUGCAGCAGGCGCGAAACCUUUACAAUGCACGAAAGUGUGAUAAGGGGAUCCUACGUGCUCAUACAUAGUAUGGGCUUUUGCCAAGCGUAAAGAGCUUGGAGAAUAAGAGCUGGGUAAGACUGGUGCCAGCCGCCGCGGUAACACCAGCGGCUCGAGUGGCAAUCGGCAUUAUUGGGCCUAAAGCGUCCGUAGCUGGAUCUGUACAUCCCUUGUGAAAUCACGGAGCUUAACUCCACGGCAUGCAGGGGACACGGCAGAUCUUGGGAACGGGAGGAGCAAGAGGUAUUCGAAGGGGACCGGUAAAAUGGUAUAAUCCUUCGAAGACCACCGAUGGCGAAGGCAUCUUGCUAGAACGUGUCCGACAGUGAGGGACGAAAGCCAGGGGAGCGAACCGGAUUAGAUACCCGAGUAGUCCUGGCCGUAAACGCUGCGAGCUAGGCGUUGCGCUACCUACGUGGUUGCGCAGUGUCGAAGAGAAGUCGUUAAGCUCGCCGCCUGGGGAGUACGGUCGCAAGGCUGAAACUUAAAGGAAUUGGCGGGGGCGCACCACAAGGGGUGCGGCGUGCGGUUUAAUCGAAUUCAACACCGAGAAUCUCACUAGGGGCGACGGCACUAUGAUGGUCAGUCUGAAGGGCUUACCGGAGGAGCCGAGAGGAGGUGCAUGGCC